AUCGCUUCUCGGCCUUAUGGCUAAGAUCAAAGUGUAGUACCUGUUCUUAUCAGCCUUUGGACCUCCUCAAACUUUAAUUUGUGCUAUCUUGAAUACUUAACUGUCGGCCUCGCUCGGCAAUCAUUUUUUUAUUUAUUAAAAAGUCAAUAUACUUUUACUGCAGGCUAAGAAUCACAACGUUAGUUGAAUUUAACACUUUUUUUUUAACCAAUAGCAGAACCUUC
rnacentral:snRNA from 1 species